UGCCAGCCGCCGCGGUAAUACGGAGGGUGCAAGCGUUGUUCGGAAUUAUUGGGCGUAGAGCGCGUGUAGGCGGUUCGUUAAGUCUGAUGUGAAAGCCCGGGGCUCAACCCCGGAAGUGCAUUGGAAACUGGCGAACUUGAGUACGGGAGAGGAAAGUGGAAUUCCGAGUGUAGGGGUGAAAUCCGUAGAUAUUCGGAGGAACACCAGUGGCGAAGGCGACAUUCUGGGUCACAACUGACACUGAGGUGCGAUAGCGUGGGGAGCAAACAGGAUUAGAUA
rnacentral:rRNA from 1 species